rnacentral:lncRNA from 1 species
GGGACCCACCUACAUAGCACCAGCAAGCCAUUUAACUCUCAGAUCUUACUGUCUUCAUCUCCACAGGCAUCAGACCAGAGCACCCAACUAAGGAAACUGGAGACCAUGAGAAGCCACUGGAAGUCUGUGAGCAGGAGAAUGACAUUGUAACAUGACCAAAGGAAGCCAUUCUUUUUCUGAGAAUCUGCCAUCAAGAACAGCACUAAGGGAAACACACUUCUCCCAGGGGUCCUGGAACAACUUCAUUAGGAAGCUGGAGGUGAAUUUUCACAGGCGCGUCACGUGGGAGACCCCCAGAGAGCUGGACCAAUGAGCAUGUGGCAGUGAUUUGGGUCACACACGCUAAUGGCCCAAGAAAAUAACACCAUUAGUGCCGUAAUGGAGCAGCAGCAUCUCUGUCCCCAGGACACCCACUGACUGGAGAGGGACCGGGCCACCGGGUGAUGUUAAGAUGCCCUCUGCUCCUUUCCUGUUCAACAUGUACUGAUUCCAAAGUGAAUCAGCAAUUUGAACCCAUGAGGACCUUUGUUAUCUGAAACUACACGUGCCAUCUAACUGCUUAGACAAAGAAAAUGACUUAAUCAAAUCACUCUGAUUUCCAUAAGCAGGGUAUCCCCAACCCCCAGGAUCAAAUGCCUGAUGAUCUGAAGUGGAGCUGAUAUAAUAAUAAUAAUGGAAAUAAAGUGCGCAACAAAUGUAAUGCA